GAUGAACGCUGGCGGCGUGCCUAAUACAUGCAAGUCGAGCGAACAGAUGAGGAGCUUGCUCCUCUGACGUUAGCGGCGGACGGGUGAGUAACACGUGGAUAACCUACCUAUCAGACUGGGAUAACUUCGGGAAACCGGAGCUAAUACCGGAUAAUAUAUUGAACCGCAUGGUUCAAUAGUGAAAGACGGUUUUGCUGUCACUUAUAGAUGGAUCCGCGCCGCAUUAGCUAGUUGGUAAGGUAACGGCUUACCAAGGCAACGAUGCGUAGCCGACCUGAGAGGGGGAUCGGCCACACUGGAGCUGAGACACGGUCCAGACUCCUACGGGAGGCAGCAGUAGGGAAUCUUCCGCAAUGGGCGAAAGCCUGACGGAGCAACGCCGCGUGAGUGAUGAAGGUCUUCGGAUCGUAAAACUCUGUUAUUAGGGAAGAACAAAUGUGUAAGUAACUAUGCACGUCUUGACGGUACCUAAUCAGAAAGCCACGGCUAACUACGUG
rnacentral:rRNA from 1 species